rnacentral:rRNA from 1 species
CAGCAGCCGCGGAAAACGAGGGGGGCAAGCGUUGUUCGGAAUUAUUGGGCGUAAAGGGUGCGUAGGCGGUUUCGCAAGUCUUGUGUGAAAUCUAUGGGCUCAACCCAUAGUCUGCAUAGGAAACUGCGAGGCUUGAGGAUGGGAGAGGUGAGUGGAAUUUCCGGUGUAGCGGUGAAAUGCGUAGAUAUCGGAAGGAACACCUGUGGCGAAAGCGGCUCACUGGACCAUUUCCGACGCUGAUGCACGAAAGCUAGGGGAGCAAACAGGAUUAGAUACCCGCGUAGUCCCUGUCUCUUAUACA